CCGGUNCCUGCAAGAAAAAGCGCCNGGCNUAACCUACGUGCCCAGCAAGCCGCGGUAAUACGUANGGGCGCAAGCGGUGUCCGGAAUUAUUGGGCCGUAAAAAGCUUGUAGGUGGCUUGUCGCGUCUGCCGUGAAAACCCNAGGCUCAAACCUCCGGGCGUGCGGUNGGUACGGGCAGGCUAGAGUGUGGUAGGGGAGACUGGAACUCCUGGUGUAGCGGUGAAAUGCGCAGAUAUCAGGAAGAACACCGAUGGCGAAGGCAGGUCUCUGGGCCAUUACUGACACUGAGAAGCGAAAGCAUGGGUAGCGAACAGGAUUAGAUACCCUGGUAGUCCAUGCCGUAAACGUUGGGCACUAGGUGUGGGGGACAUUCCACGUUUUCCGCGCCGUAGCUAACGCAUUAAGUGCCCCGCCUGGGGAGUACGGCCGCAAGGCUAAAACUCAAAGGAAUUGACGGGGGCCCGCACAAGCGGCGGAGCAUGCUGAUUAAUUCGAUGCAACGCGAAGAACCUUACCAAGGCUUGACAUGCACUGGACGGCUGCAGAGAUGUGGCUUUCUUUGGACUGGUGCACAGGUGGUGCAUGGUUGUCGUCAGCUCGUGUCGUGAGAUGUUGGGUUAAGUCCCGCAACGAGCGCAACCCUCGUUCUAUGUUGCCAGCACGUNAUGGUGGGGACUCAUAGGAGACUGCCGGGGUCAACUCGGAGGAAGGUGGGGACGACGUCAAAUCAUCAUGCCCCUUAUGUCUUGGGCUUCAAGCAUGCUACAAUGGUCGGUACAAUGGGUUGCGAAACUGUGAGGUGGAGCGAAUCCCAAAAAGCCGGCCUCAGUUCGGAUUGGGGUCUGCAACUCGACCCCAUGAAGUCGGAGUCGCUAGUAAUCGCAGAUCAGCAACGCUGCGGUGAAU
rnacentral:rRNA from 1 species